rnacentral:rRNA from 1 species
CAGCCGCCACGGUAAUACGUAGGUCCCGAGCGUUGUCCGGAUUUAUUGGGCGUAAAGCGAGCGCAGGCGGUUAGAUAAGUCUGAAGUUAAAGGCUGUGGCUUAACCAUAGUACGCUUUGGAAACUGUUUAACUUAAGUGCAAGAGGGGAGAGUGGAAUUCCAUGUGUAGCGGUGAAAUGCGUAGAUAUAUGGAGGAACACCGGUGGCGAAAGCGGCUCUCUGGCUUGUAACUGACGCUGAGGCUCGAAAGCGUGGGGAGCAAACAGGAUUAGAUACCCCAGUAGUCCCUGUCUCUUAUACA